rnacentral:rRNA from 1 species
AGGAUGAACGCUGGCGGCGUGCCUAACACAUGCAAGUCGAACGUCCUGUCUCGCAAGAGGCAGGGAGUGGCGGACGGGUGAGUACCACGUGGGUCAUCUACCGUGAGGUGAGGAAUACCGGCGAGAAAUCGCCGACAAGACCGCAUAGCCUCGGUGCAAGUCGAGGAAAGCUCUCUCGAGAGAGGGAGCGCCACACGAGGAGCCUGCGCCCGAUUAGCUAGCUGGUGGAGUAAUGGUUCACCAGGGCGACGAUCGGUAGCUGGUCUGAGAGGACGAUCAGCCACACUGGGAUUGAGAACGGCCCAGACUCCUACGGGGGCAGCAGUGAGGAAUUUUCCGCAAUGGGCGCAAGCCUGACGGAGCAACGCCGCGUGCAGGAAGACGGUUUUCGGAUCGUAAACUGCUUUUCUCGGGGACGAGAACGGACGGUACCCGAGGAAUCAGCCCCGGCUAACUACGUGCCAGCAGCCGC